rnacentral:lncRNA from 1 species
AGKUCAAGUGUGCUGGAGGGAUGCUAAUGCAUUUGGUUUGUGCUUGUUGCACAGAAGUAUGGGAAGACUGCACGUCCACAGCCAUGAUUCAUCUCCCUAGAAGACUGGGUGAACUUGAAUUCUUCUCCCUUUCAAAGAGCUUUUUCCCCUGAAUCCCUUUUACAAUCUGAAGAAAAGGAAGAAAGCCGGAGGAAGCUUAACAUGAGAUGCAAGUGGAGCCUGAUGCUGCAGUGCGUGGCAGAAGCCUUAGCUUAGAAGCAACAGUUCUACUAGAAAUCAUGUUACAGAUUAUGUACUUCUUUGGAAUGGCCAUGAGAAAAAUGCGUUCCCACAGUAUCGUCAAAGGAACUACAUCCAGCACCAGAUUUUCCUACCAACCAAAUACAGGGGCUAAGAGUCUGGCAGCUCAUAACUUGGUACUCGUGACUCCAGCUGAUACAUUCACAUCAUAAGAAGGUCAGUUAAAUUGCUUUCAGUUUAUUUUAAAAACUCUUAGCACUUGUGUACAGACCUGAGGGACUAAAGCGUAAUGACCACUCAAAACCAAAGUACAGCAGCUGCUACCAUCUGAAAAACAAAUGUUGUGUGGACAAAAGCAUCUUCCUUGUGCCAGCUACAC